UACGUAGGGGCAAGCGUUGUCCGGAAUCAUUGGGCGUAAAGAGCGUGUAGGCGGCCCGAUAAGUCCGCUGUGAAAGUCCAGGGCUCAACCCUGGAAUGCCGGUGGAUACUGUCGGGCUCGAAUCCGGAAGAGGUGAGUGGAAUUCCUGGUGGUAGCGGUGAAAUGCGCAGAUAUCAGGAGGAACACCAAUGGCGAAGGCAGCUCACUGGGACGGUAUUGACGCUGAGACGCGAAAGCGUGGGGAGCAAACAGG
rnacentral:rRNA from 1 species